AAUCGCUAGUAAUCGCGGAUCAGAAUGCCGCGGUGAAUACGUUCCCGGGUCUUGUACACACCGCCCGUCACACCAUGGGAGCCGGGAAUGCCCGAAGUCGGUGGCCCAACCGAAAGGGGGGAGCUGCCGAAGGCAGGCCUGGUGACUGGGGUGAAGUCGUAACAAGGUAUC
rnacentral:rRNA from 1 species